CUCAAAGAUUAAGCCAUGCAAGUGGUUAUUAUAACCCAACAGUUUAAAUAAGUGUUUACGUACUACUAUCACACACAUACACAGUGAACUGGCAAUUCACUUAUGCAACUGCAGACAGCUGCUUAAUACAGUCACACUUGUCUUGACUUGGCAAUACCUAAUUUAACAACUCACAUACGGCUCUUCCAAAUCUAUAAUUUACACGGAUAACUCAGGGAAAGUUUGGCUAAUACGUACGAGUAUUAAUACACACACACACACCAUACACUCUGCACACAAUAGUAAACUUACAUACUAAUAUUUAAUAUUAGUAUUUGUUUAAAUGCAACAUGAGAGAUAUUGUGCACGCGUAAAUUAUUUAUGCUGAGCAGACUUUAACAUAUAGUUGAAGCAUGUCAUACAAGCAUCUAUAGCAUCAAGUCACAGGGUUGGCAAGUGUAUUUUUGAACCUUCAAAGCAGUCACGCAUACGGAAGAGUAGUUUCUGAUCCCAUAGAAGGAGCACCGUACAAUGAGAGACCGCUCUUAGUUCUAAGGAACGCAGCAGGCGCGUAAAUUGCCCAAUGAUAGUACCCUAUACACAUAUACAUACAUAUACCUUGUUACAUACAUACAUACACUGAGGCAGUGACAAGCUGUAACGGUUGAGUAUUUUAAAUGACGAGUGUCUGACAUUGCCGCUUUCCUUCGGGUUAGCUUGGUAAUUUAAUUGCCGACACUUUGUGUGCUCAAUUGGAAUGCGGUGAGUUUAAAUAACUCAGAACCUUUGAAUAUAUAUUAAUUAUUCACGUAUCUGAAUUUCAAGUGGAGGGCAAGUCUGGUGCCAGCAGCCGCGGUAAUACCAGCUCCACUGGCCUAUACAAUCAUUGUUGCGGUUAAGAGGCUCGUAGUUGGAUUGAACUAUUAUUACGCGUAAAUAAUACACACACACAAAUAUUAUACGCAUAUACGACACACACACACAACACUGUGAACAAAUCAGAAUGUAUCAAAUAUGUAUUUUAUUUAUAAUGCGCAUUGAAUGUCUUAUCAUGGAAUGUUGCCUAUAUUAUAAUUUACACACGUACUGCAUUUAUAAAUGUCGAUGGGGAUAGUUGGAGUCAACAGUACUGCUGGGCGAGCGGUGAAAUGCAUUGACCCUAGCAAGACUACCAAAAGCGAAAGNGGNUGGCUAGGCUAUACUCUUUGUGAUGCAUCACGCGUAUACUAUACACACACAUAUUACGUAUACGCGGCACACUUUACAAUGAAGAACGAAGGUUGGGGGAUCAAAGAGGAUCAGAUACCCUCGUCGUCCCAUUUUAUACAUCAAACGAUGGGCUCUCAAUUGCAUUUAUUUAUGUAAAUUUUUACUAAAUAUAAAUUGCAAAUAUUAAAUCCUCCUAACCAAUUAACUAUCAGCUUGAGUCUUACGGCUCGCUGUAUUAAAGGUCUCGACGGACGUUUCAUUUAUACAUUACGUAAAAAACAACUAUUUUGCGUGUAAGCUAUUACAACUCUAUAACAAGGGUUACGUAUAAGCGUGCAUUUGAUUUUCGGAGCUUUGCGCUCAAAUUUAAAUAUCUGGUGAGAUGUAAGCAUCAAACGAUAAUUUAUUACACCAUACAUAUUUUAUAUAUGUUAUGCGUGUUAAUAUUUAUCAUUUUAAAAUACGGUGUGAGGCACGUAUUAGGCACGCGCUUACUGCAGAAAUGUCUGAGAUAUUUCCCUCCGGGGGUAGUAUGCACGCAAGUGUGAAACUUGAAGGAAUUGACGGAAGGGCACCACAAGAACGCGUGGAGCAUGUGGCUUAAUUUGACUCAACGCGGGAAAUCUUACCGGGUCCGGACACACUGAGGAUUGACAGACAAUCAUGUAUUUUUACGUAUUUAUACGUAAUAUACAUCAAAUAAAGAUGCUAGUUCUUUCAUGAUUAUGUGAUAGGUGGUGCAUGGCCGUUCUUAGUUCGUGGAGUGAUCUGUCUGCUUAAUUGCGUUUCACAAUUAAAAUACGAAUAUACGCAUUAUAGAUUGCUUGACCCCAUCCUUUACUGGGUGCGCUGUGUCUCGUAUCUUAUAUAUGCAUUCGUUAUUUCGAAAGCAACGAACGUGACCGUAUCCUUUUGUUAUAUACACUAUACGUAUAUUUAAAAACUAAAGGGACCGCUGUUUCUUUCUUAAACCAGAGGAAGGUUACGACAAUAACAGGUCUGUGAUGCCCUUAGAUGUUCCGGGCUGCACACGUGCUACAAUGAUUAUUUCAGUAAGUAUCUAAAUCAAAAGCAUGUACGUGCAUUGCGUAUAUUUUAUAUACGUAUAUACACACAUCAAAUCCUACCUCGAAAGUUAGGUGGGUAAUCAAUUAGAAGUAAUGAUUUCCUUAAAAUUAUUUGUACAAAAAUAUACAGCGUAUUCAUAUCCCAUAAAGAUUUUAUAUCUGCAUGCGUGUGUAUGAUACGUAUAUUUCCUACAUAGGUUAUAUAUUUCUGUAUGUACAAUUGUUAAUUCAUGGUGGGGACAGACCAUUGUUAAUUAUUGGUCUCGGUCUUAACUAGGAAUGCCUUGUACGGGUCUUUGGUUCAUCAAACCACCCGGAAUACGUCCCUGCCCUUUGUACACACCGCCCGUCGCUCUUACCGAUGAACUUUACUAUGAAUUUGAGGGAUUUUAUUCAUUUAAAAAAACUUAAAUGAAUAGUGUGGUUUAAAGGAAAGAGAAGUCGAACAAGGCA
rnacentral:rRNA from 1 species